rnacentral:snRNA from 1 species
AGCUUUAAACAGUGGCAGUAUUGUAGCUAAUGAGGUUCAUCCGAGGUGAGAUUAUUGCUAAUUAAAAAAUCUCAUUUCUUUUCUAUUUCUUUGAAUGUUCAAAGCGAUUGUUUAUCUGAAAUAUUCUUCAUCUUUCAGAAA